rnacentral:lncRNA from 1 species
CAAGAGACUGCUGAUGCUUUGCUGAUUGGGGAUUGCUCUGCUUUUGCUUUCUAGUAGUAGUGGUCUUAGUAGUCUUUGUAGUAGUCUUAGUAGUCUUAGUAGUAGUCUUAGUAGUAGUCUUAGUCUUAGUAGUAGUCUUAGUCUUAGUAGUAGUCUUAGUCUUAGUAGUAGUCUUAGUCUUAGUAGUUUUAGUCUUAGUAGUCUUAGUCUUAGUAGUAGUCUUAGUCUUAGUAAAAGUCUUAGUCUUAGUCUUAGUCUUAGUCUUAGUAGUUGUCUUAGCA